rnacentral:lncRNA from 1 species
GUGACACAUGCAAGUUCGGCUUCGAGACUGCUGAGUCCUCCUACACCGUCCCCGGUACGCAUCUCUCUCUCUCCCUUUCUAGAUCUGAGAGAUUCACUUUCUUUUGAUCCAAGGAAUCUUCAUCUACUUUUGCCCUAGAUCUAGCUACAGUGUUGGAUCUGCUGCUUAUGCCCUAGAUCUAAUUACAGUAUUGAUGGAUUCUUGUUAGAUCUAAGAGCUUCACUUACUGUUUAUUUACUGCUUAUGUCCUAGAUCCAAGUCUUGAUGUGUGUGUCUGUUACUUGAGAUACAAGUCAUGAUAUGUGUGUGUGGUACAUGAUUUGUUACUUGAGAGCCAAGUCUGAUGAACAAAUAUUGUGUGUAUAUUAUCUGUUACUUGAGAUCCAAGUCUGAUGAACAAAUGUAUAUAUAUUAUGCAGGUGCGACAGUGAAGCUUGUGUGCAGAGACAGGAAGACGAUGAAAGAGUUAUACACAGACGUAGCUACAUCAAACAGGCAUGGGAAGUACAUGUUCGUUGUCCACGAGGACCACAAGGACGAGAUGUGCGAUGUUAUGCUUGUCAAAAGCUCAGACAAGGGUUGUUCUAAAAUCUCUAAGGGGCGUGAACAGUCGCGUGUGAUCUUGAACCAUUACAACGGCAUUGCGUCGCAGAUUAGGCAUGCUAACAACAUGGGAUUCGAGAAAGAUGUUUCUGAUGUGUUUUGCUCUGAGCUCAUCAAGAAGUAUCAGGUUGAUGAAGAUGAGAUUUAAGAUCUUUGAUCAGUGUCAUUAUGAUCUGUUGUUUUCGAUUUGGUUUAAUGAGUUUGGUUAUGGAAGAAAUAUAUUUGUACUUCUUUAAUAUUUAUUUGUCUUAGAUGAUGAUGAUGUCUCCAGUGAUCGGAACUAUGUUUGUGUAAGCUUCUUUUAUUGAUAUAUG